rnacentral:rRNA from 1 species
GAUGAACGCUGGCGGCGUGCCUAAUACAUGCAAGUCCAGCGAACGGACGAGAAGCUUGCUUUUCUGAUGUUAGCGGCGGACGGGUGAGUAACACGUGGAUAACCUACCUAUAAGACUGGGAUAACUUCGGGAAACCGGAGCUAAUACCGGAUAAUAUUUUGAACCGCAUGGUUCAAAAGUGAAAGACGGUCUUGCUGUCACUUAUAGAUGGAUCCGCGCUGCAUUAGCUAGUUGGUAAGGUAACGGCUUACCAAGGCAACGAUGCAUAGCCGACCUGAGAGGGUGAUCGGCCACACUGGAACUGAGACACGGUCCAGACUCCUACGGGAGGCAGCAGUAGGGAAUCUUCCGCAAUGGGCGAAAGCCUGACGGAGCAACGCCGCGUGAGUGAUGAAGGUCUUCGGAUCGUAAAACUCUGUUAUUAGGGAAGAACAUAUGUGUAAGUAACUGUGCACAUCUUGACGGUACCUAAUCAGAAAGCCACGGCUAACUACGUG